GACGAACGCUGGCGGCGUGCUUAACACAUGCAAGUCGAACGGAAAGGCCCGGCUUUUGUGGGGUGCUCGAGUGGCGAACGGGUGAGUAACACGUGAGUAACCUGCCCUUGACUUUGGGAUAACUUCAGGAAACUGGGGCUAAUACCGGAUAUGAGCUCCUGCUGCAUGGGGGGGGGGGGAAAGUUUCGGCGGUUGGGGAUGGACUCGCGGCUUAUGAGCUUGUUGGUGGGGUAGUGGCUUACCAAGGCUUUGACGGGUAGCCGGCCUGAGAGGGUGACCGGCCACAUUGGGACUGAGAUACGGCCCAGACUCCUACGGGAGGCAGCAGUGGGGUAUAUUGCACAAUGGGCGGAAGCCUGAUGCAGCAACGCCGCGUGCGGGAUGACGGCCUUCGGGUUGUAAACCGCUUUCGCCUGUGACGAAGCGUGAGUGACGGUAAUGGGUAAAGAAGCACCGGCUAACUACGUG
rnacentral:rRNA from 1 species